CCUACGGGGGGCUGCAGUGGGGAAUAUUGGACAAUGGGGGGAACCCUGAUCCAGCCAUGCCGCGUGUGUGAAGAAGGCCCUCGGGUUGUAAAGCACUUUCAGUGAGGAAGAACGCCUGGUGGUUAAUACCCAUCAGGAAAGACAUCACUCACAGAAGAAGCACCGGCUAACUCCGUGCCAGCAGCCGCGGUAAUACGGAGGGUGCGAGCGUUAAUCGGAAUUACUGGGCGUAAAGCGCGCGUAGGUGGCUUGAUAAGCCGGUUGUGAAAGCCCCGGGCUCAACCUGGGAACGGCAUCCGGAACUGUCAAGCUAGAGUGCAGGAGAGGAAGGUAGAAUUCCCGGUGUAGCGGUGAAAUGCGUAGAGAUCGGGAGGAAUACCAGUGGCGAAGGCGGCCUUCUGGACUGACACUGCCACUGAGGUGCGAAAGCGUGGGUAGCAAACAGGAUUAGAUACCCUAGUAGUC
rnacentral:rRNA from 1 species